AUGAAGGGUCAUCACUGAGGAGACUGAAGGGGAAUUUUUCAAACCAGGUUUUCUUUCCUCAUGCUCAUGACUUACUGGAUCCUUUCCUGCAUUAAAAUAAAAAAGACAAACCUUUUUUAGAGGAAGACGCUGUUGUGGACAUUUUUCAUAGAGAAACGUACUAUUUGUAGACUUUUUUGGCUCUCCGCCAAUUAAAGCUUUACCGCAGAGCUAUACAUGGAAUCGCCGGCUCCUAACCAUUUUACGGAGGCAUUUUUGGAAGCCCUUCGGGUUCAAGUCCCAGUAAACAACGUUCACAGGUCAGAUCCCUUGGAUGUCAGGACCGCAUCCAUGGAGAAGAGCUGCUCUGAGAGCAUCUGUAACCCUGCUAUGAGGGGGAGCCUCCCACGGGAAGCCUAAGGCCCUUGAGCCUGCUUUGAAAACCUGGGGCAUCUCAGCACAUGCACGGUGAGCUCCAAAGCCACGAAGGGGCCGGGGGCCUCGGGCUGCCCAUGUGCGCCCCGCCCAGAAAGCAGACAGACUGUUGGGCGUGCACCUUCUUCUAGGUCCCCUUGGGCUGUGUUUACCUGCAAGCUCCAUUUCCUGGGCGGCCAUAACUUGAACCUCCAACUGGUCCUUGGCAGCCAUCCUGCUGCCCUUCCUGCCCACGGGCUCCGUGGCUGACUGGCCUGGGAAGCUAGAGGCGACCUCUGAACCUGGACAAGCUACCAGGUCUCCAGGACUGAAGGUUAUCAUCUAAGUUGGUGUUCUCAACUGGAGGCGAUUUACCCCCCACCCAGGAGACAGUUGGCAAUGUCUGGAGGAAAUCUCUUGCCGGAAGCCGUGCCACAGAGCACACAGGCAGUUUGCAGAGAAGGAUGCAACCCACACCAUGUCCGAAGCGGGCUCUGGGGAAGGCAAGGGGCCAGCUGAAGCUACCCGUACACAUCGUUUUACAAGCCCUGGGCUGUCAAUGGGUCUUUUAAAACCAGCUGAACUGCGUUUUGCUUUUCAGUGUGUAAGCUGGUCAGCUUACAGCAGUACAAAUUGGCAGCGUGGCAAGAAAGAAAACUGAAAUUCAAUCCAACACUGGGAUUGGAAGCUCUUGAGACUCAAAUGUCACCAACACCGGGGGCUUCUCCUCUAAUUAUCCUGUCAAACGAGGGUUGAAAAUGUCAGCACAGACUUCAGUCUCAGCUCCUCCAGCAACCAAUGAGAGUGGGCUUGGGUCUGGUUUAAAUGAUGAAGAACAAAUUUGAAAAACCCUUCAGUUGAUUUCAAGACUUCCUGGGACGGCGAUGUUUAAACCACAAUGUUCUUCUUUUGGGGCAAAGUUAAGAGCCAAUCACAGUUAAGGUUUCUCUGCAUGUUCUGCCCAUAUUUGGCUGUAAUCUUGCUUCAUCCAACUAAAUUUAUAAUAUAUGUGAGUGAAAAGCAAGCCUUUGGGAUUUGUCUCUCUCUCUCUUUCCUUGUUAUAAAGGAAGCCUUAUCUUUAUGCAUUUGGGGCUACCUGUGAACUUACAGUCUAGCUUCAAAGCAAAGAAAGGAGCAGCCAGUGUAGAAAACUUCGUUUUUACUUUUUUUUUUUUUUUUAAACAAGCUUUAACUGUAGCUUCUGGCUACAGGAAAGUACAUAGAAAACCGAAUCUAGUUUCGGCCUGUGCAGUACUGACCAGGAGAGGCUUAUGAGAUUAUGGGGAUAUUGAAGAACACAGAAUGUCACAUGGAUGAUUGUAUUUUAUCUAUAAUGUAUGUGUAGGAGAGAUCCAUUUCUCAGAGAUGGCAAGAACUAAAUGCACCCUUUGAAAUAUCUUCUUAGGGGUUGCUUGAGGAGGAUGAUCAAAUCUUACAGAGAGAUAAGACACAAAUAUGAUAAAAGUUAUUCUCAUUUUAAGUGACUAUUUAUUGACCACUUGAUAUGUAUCAUCCAUUUCAUUCUCACCACAAUCCUAUGAAGGAGAUUCAAUUCUAUCCACAUUUUGCAGUGAAGAAACUGUGGCAGUGCAUGUAACUUGCCCCAGGUGCCUGAGCUUAUAAGGAGUGGAACUAAGAAUCCACUCUGAACAGUCAGCUGCCAAAGCCCCUCACUCUUAGCCUCUUUGCUCUACUCCACUGAGAUGUUCUCUUGGGUUUACUACCAAGAACAGAGGCUGUAAGUAGUAUAGAAUGCCCCCGGGGACCCCAGUGUCCAAGACACCAACUUCCACUGCCUCUCAGGACCCUAAGGAAAGAAAACUGAGAGGUUGUUCAGCUUGUCUCAGGUCCAGAACUGUCUGGUCAGAGGGGAUCCUGGGAUCCACCAGUUGAGCCCUUCAUUCAGGGCCCCAGUUAUUCCUAGUCUUGGGAAACCCAGCUCUAGAAGCCCCUCCCCAGCAGGAUUGAGGACAAAGGGGCUAGACUAGAGACCCAGCAACAUGGCCCUUCCAUGUUCUCAAAACUCAAGAGACCUAGAAAAGAGAAGGGUGGCAAAGCAGCCCAGCCCCACCCCCCAGGGCCAGAGAGGCCCCACUUCACUCUGUAGAGCAGUGGGAUUCAUCUGGGUGCCAUUUGGCCCUCCAGGAGAUGUUUGGCAAUGUUUAGAGACAUUUUAGGUUGCCACAGCUGGGUUGGGGAGGCGAGGGUGCUACUGGCAUCUAGUGGGUAGAGGCCAGGGAUGCUGUUAAAUAUCCUACAACGCACAGCACAGCUCCUGCCACAAAGUGCUGCGGUGAGAAGCCCUGCCCUCAAGUCUUGGUUGGGCACAUUCCACCCACAGCUCUGAGGAAGCUCCGUCUGGGGCUUCUUCAAAGAGUCAUUCUGCAACCAGGAAGCUGGCAGCCCAUACAACUAUGCAGAAGGUGAAAGAGAGAAGGCGGGACCAUGAACACGCGUUUUAAUUACUGCAUGUUUGUUUCUGACAGAGAGAGGUCAGUGUUUGCCUCCAUUUGCAGGCAUCAGGACCAAGGUGGGCAGUGGGCAGUGAGGGGGCAGGGGUGGAGGGCGGCACUAGCUCUGUGUAGCAGGCUGAAUAAUGGCUUCUAAAGAUAGCAGAUCCUGAUCCCGGUAGCCUUCUAUGAAAAAAGGUGGUCUUUGCAGAUGUCAUUAAGUGAAGAAUCUUGAGAUGGGGAGAUUAUCCUGUAUCAUCUGAGUGGGUCCUAAAUGUAAUCACACGUAUUCUUGAGAGAAGGAGGCAGAGGGAGAUCUACGUGCACAUGGAAAAGGUGAUGUAACAACAGCAGAAAUUGGGGUGAUGAGGCCACAAGCCAAGGAAUAUGGAUGGCCACUAGAAGCUGGAAAAGGCAAGGAUCAGAUACUCCCCUAGAGCUUCCUGGGGGAACGUGGCCCUGCCCACACCUUGAUUUGGGCCUAGCGAGACUGAUUUCAAAAUUCUGGCCGCCAGAACUGUGAGAGAAUAAACUGUUGUCUUAAGCCACCAAGUUGGUGGUCAUUUGUUACUGCAGCCAUAGGAGACUAAUCUACCCUGAGACUCCUGGGGCCCCCAGAUGGAUCCUCUGAGGCUGAGGGGCAAACUCUUCCAUGCAGGCAAAGCCAGAAAAAGGGGAAUGGAAAUUUCCUUUGCACUUUCCUUGAUACAUUUACAUUUCCCAUCCCACCCUUUAAGCACCCUUUCCUGUGAAAACAUGGCACCUGCCCCCUCACCGGCCUCUAUCAGUCAACAAUUCAACUGAAUGUCGGGCAAAGCAUAUGACACCCCCAGUGCUUGGUUCAAACCUGUUUGAGUCACCUGUCACUUUCUACCUUGAAUUUUUGUCACCAAUGUACAUGCAGUAACUUCUAUACUAGACUGUGACUCAGACGCUCACAAUCACACUCAAACACAGUCUAGUGUUUUUCACAGCCUGGUAUAGAAGGUACUGCCUGUACAUCAGAACAGGGGAGCAGGAGCCUGAUCUGAUUUAUUAUGAAGUCUCCCAAGGCCUCCAGCGCACAGUAUCAGGCACACAGGAAACAAUCAAUGAUUAAUGUGUGCUUCCUCCAUCCUAUGAGAAAUAUUACUUAGGUCUCUUUAUGACGAGUGGCCAAAAAGCACAAAGCCGAAUCUGAUGCUUAUUAAUAGUAAUCCCAUACUUGCUGUAAGCCCUGCAACAACUAUCAUUAUCCAUGUUUUGUUUUUCAAUGGAGGUAUAAUUUACAUACAGUAACAUGCACACAUCUUAAGUGUAUAGCUUGAUGAAUUUUUACCUAAAUAUACCUCCUGGAAACCACUGACCACACAAACAUCUAUGUCUUUCCAUCACUCUAGAAAGCUUCCUUUUUCCCUUUUCCUAGUCAAUUAACCCCCAUGCCCCUCACACUCCAGUGAACCACUAUUCUGACUUCUACUCCCAUAAACUAGGUUUGCUUGUUUGUGAACUUCAUAUAAAUGAAAUUGUACAGAAUGUACUCUUGCAUCUGGCUUCUUUCUCUUAACAUAAUGUUUUUGAGAUUUAUCCAGGUGAUUGUAUCAGUUUAUUCUUUCUUUUUUUAAUCUGCUGUGUAUUAUUCCAUUGUAAGAAUAUGCCAUAAUUUGUUUAUCCAUUCUUCUAUUGAUGGACAUUUGGAUCAUUUCCAGUUUGGGCAUAUUGUGAAUAAAGCUGCUAUGAAUACUGGUGUAUUUUAUGGACCUGUGCUUUCACUCCUCCUGGCUAUGUACUUAGGAGUAAAAUUGCUGGGCUGUAGA
rnacentral:lncRNA from 1 species